UGGUCGUCCUUACAGGAUUUUCCCUUGUUCUCAGCAUCUAGACCCGUAACGCCCACUUCAGAAUGGGAGGGAGGAUGUCUGCUGCCCUGUCGUCUCCACACCCGAGGAAUGUCCGUGUGUGUGUGUGUGUGGUGUGCACAGCGGGCUGCACACAGCGGGCUCCACGGUGCUCGAAUGGAGGCCCUAAUGUGAAUGGAGACUAGCCUGCUGGUAGAGACCUUGGCAGUGACCGCUGUGGGCAAUGAGCCAUGGGCCAACAAUAUUCAAUGCUGUGUACCUGAUGGAUGGUUACUGUCUGAGACUGAGGCUUUUUGGGCCAGGAGUAAAAGGACUUGGUUUGUACUUGAUUGCGUCCUGUGGAUGCUUGCCUACCAACUGACUCAUCCUGACGUGCCAAAGGUCCUGGCUUUCCCCUGUGUGGGUAAGGGAAGAAGAGAGUUCUAAUGAAGACUAUAGCAGACUGAAUUACUCUCUGAGAUGAGGACUUUGCUAUUGCCAUUGCAGAACCACUGGUGGAAGUUGUUGUUAAACAGUGGGUCUUGCAUGCAAGCUCUACAGUUAUGCACAGUAUUUCCAUGACAUCCCAAGCCAUGAGGUUCAUGCUGCCAUAUCCCCCUGUUUAACAAGUGUGGAAACUGAUAAUGGACUCACAAUUGCUGAUGUAUAGGUUCUAAUGUUUUCUAUUGUGGACACGGGACACCCAGACUGAGAACCAAUGGCUCCAGUCUGAUUUAAACAUGGGUCCGUGCUCACACACUCAAUACCUACCCUCUGUGCUCACAAGUCCUGUGUGAGUAAGACUCCAAAUUAUUCUGUCUUGUUUUACUCAAUGGUAUGCUCUACCUUAUUAUAGAGUAUACCAUGUAUUGAGACAAGAAUGCCAGUCAUUCUGAGAAACAAAAUGCAACCAUUAGUUGUCAUUUUAAUUAGUGACGAAUAGUUGUGUCAAUCAUCAAACAUGCUUGUAUAAUUGGAUGAGAAGAGGUGUAACACGGGCCAAUGAUGACGAGGUUUCGGGAUUAUAAGUCACGGACGAUGACUACGUCACUAGAGGUCUGAGGUCCAUAGCAGAAGAUGCCUCAUGUGACCCUCUCAUGCAGGGGUUGCAUGUCAGGCAUGUGCAUACAGUAGAUAUUAGCCAUGCACUCUCACCAUUUCAUAGUAGAUCACAGAAUCAAGAUACAAAUCUCCAUGCACGGAAAGGAUUUAAGGCAUUGAUCAAUCCUGAACAUAAAUAUUUGGCCAUCAAUGAUAUUUACGCACACACUGAAAAA
rnacentral:lncRNA from 1 species